rnacentral:rRNA from 1 species
AGCGAACGCUGGCGGCAGGCCUAACACAUGCAAGUCGAGCGCCCCGCAAGGGGAGCGGCAGACGGGAGAGUAACACGUGGGAACGUACCCUUCAGUUCGGAACAACCCAGGGAAACUUGGGCUAAUACCGGAUACGUCCGUAAGGAGAAAGAUUUAUCGCUGAAGGAUCGGCCCGCGUCUGAUUAGCUAGUUGGUGAGGUAACGGCUCACCAAGGCGACGAUCAGUAGCUGGUCUGAGAGGAUGAUCAGCCUCACUGGGACUGAGACACGGCCCAGACUCCUGCGGGAGGCAGCAGUGGGGAAUAUUGGACAAUGGGCGCAAGCCUGAUCCAGCCAUGCCGCGUGGAUGAUGAAGGCCCUAGGGUUGUAAAGUCCUUUCGGCGGGGAAGAUAAUGACGGUACCCGCAGAAGAAGCCCCGGCUAACUUGUGCCAGCCGCCGCGGUAA